rnacentral:rRNA from 1 species
UACGGGGGGGGCAAGCGUUGUUCGGAAUUACUGGGCGUAAAGCGUGCGUAGGUGGUUUGUUAAGUCUGAUGUGAAAUCCCUGGGCUCAACCCAGGAACUGCGUCCGAUACUGGAUGGCUUGAAUCCGGGAGAGGGAUGCAGAAUUCCAGGUGUAGCGGUGAAAUGCGUAGAUAUCUGGAGGAAUACCGGUGGCGAAGGCGGCAUCCUGGACCGGCAUUGACGCUGAGGAGCGAAAGCCAGGGGAGCAAACGGG